rnacentral:rRNA from 1 species
CAACAUAGCGAGGAAAAGAAACUAACAAGGAUCCCCUAGUAACUGCGAGUGAAGCGGGAAAAGCUCAAAUUUAAAAUCUGGCGGUCCUUGGCCGUCCGAGUUGUAAUCUAGAGAAGUGUUACCCGCGCUGGACCGUGUACAAGUCUCCUGGAAUGGAGCAUCAUAGAGGGUGAGAAUCCCGUCUCUGACACGGACUACCAGGGCUUUGUGGUAUACUCUCAAAGAGUCGAGUUGUUUGGGAAUGCAGCUCAAAAUGGGUGGUAAAUUCCAUCUAAAGCUAAAUAUUGGCGAGAGACCGAUAGCGAACAAGUACCGUGAGGGAAAGAUGAAAAGAACUUUGGAAAGAGAGUUAAACAGUACGUGAAAUUGCUGAAAGGGAAACGCUUGAAGUCAGUCGCGUCAGCUGGGGAUCAGCCUCGCAUUUGCGUGGUGUACUUUCUGGUUGACGGGUCAGCAUCAAUUUUGAUCACUGGAAAAAGGCUUGGGGAAUGUGGCAGCUCCGGCUGUGUUAUAGCCCCUUGUCACAUACAGUGGUUGGGAUUGAGGAACUCAGCACGCCGCAAGGCCGGGUUUCGACCACGUUCGUGCUUAGGAUGCUGGCAUAAUGGCUUUAAGCGACCCGUCUUGAAACACGGACCAAGGAGUCUAACAUGCCUGCGAGUGUUUGGGUGGAAAACCCGAGCGCGUAAUGAAAGUGAAAGUUGAGAUCCCUGUCGUGGGGAGCAUCGACGCCCGGACCAGAACUUUUGGGACGGAUCCGCGGUAGAGCAUGUAUGUUGGGACCCGAAAGAUGGUGAACUAUGCCUGAAUAGGGUGAAGCCAGAGGAAACUCUGGUGGAGGCUCGUAGCGAUUCUGACGUGCAAAUCGAUCGUCAAAUUUGGGUAUAGGGGCGAAAGACUAAUCGAACCAU